rnacentral:rRNA from 1 species
GACGAACGCUGGCGGCGUGCCUAAUACAUGCAAGUCGAGCGAAUGGAUUAAGAGCUUGCUCUUAUGAAGUUAGCGGCGGACGGGUGAGUAACACGUGGGUAACCUGCCCAUAAGACUGGGAUAACUCCGGGAAACCGGGGCUAAUACCGGAUAACAUUUUGAACCGCAUGGUUCGAAAUUGAAGGGCGGCUUCGGCUGUCACUUAUGGAUGGACCCGCGUCGCAUUAGCUAGUUGGUGAGGUAACGGCUCACCAAGGCAACGAUGUGUAGCCGACCUGAGAGGGUGAUCGGCCACACUGGGACUGAGACACGGCCCAGACUCCUACGGGAGGCAGCAGUAGGGAAUCUUCCGCAAUGGACGAAAGUCUGACGGAGCAACGCCGCGUGAGUGAUGAAGGCUUUCGGGUCGUAAAACUCUGUUGUUAGGGAAGAACAAGUGCUAGUUGUAUAAGCUGGCACCUUGACGGUACCUAACCAGAAAGCCACGGCUAACUACGUGCCAGCAGCCGCAGUAA